rnacentral:rRNA from 1 species
AUUGAACGCUGGCGGCAGGCUUAACACAUGCAAGUCGAGCGGGGGAAGGUAGCUUGCUACCGGACCUAGCGGCGGACGGGUGAGUAAUGCUUAGGAAUCUGCCUAUUAGUGGGGGACAACAUCUCGAAAGGGAUGCUAAUACCGCAUACGUCCUACGGGAGAAAGCAGGGGAUCUUCGGACCUCGCGCUAAUAGAUGAGCCUAAGUCGGACUAGCUAGUUGGUAGGGUAAAGGCCUACCAAGGCAACGAUCCAUAGCUGGUCUGAGAGGAUGAUCAGCCACACUGGGACUGAGACACGGCCCAGACUCCUACGGGAGGCAGCAGUGGGGAAUAUUGGACAAUGGGCGCAAGCCUGAUCCAGCAACGCCGUGUGUGUGAAGAAGGCCUUCGGGUUGUAAAGCACUUUUAGUUGGGAAGAAAAGCUCAAGACUAAUACCCUUGAGUGAUGACGUUACCAACAGAAAAAGCACUGGCUAACUCUGUGCCAGCCGCCGCAGUAA